UACAGUAUAUCAUAAAUCUAAAAAUGUUAUAAAACAUCCUUAUCCUUAAAGCUGCUUUGAGUAAAUGUGUCUGCAAAAUGAAUAAAUCUGUGUUAUUUUAGUGCUAUUUAUAUACCAUUGUAGUAUUUAUUAAAAAAUGAUUAGCUUUCAUAGCUUUUUAUAUUUUAAGUUUGUUUUAGUUUGUCUUAGUAAAAUUAUGUAUUUUUUAAGUAUUUCUAUUUAACUUACAUUUUUAAUAUUUCAGUUUUAGUACUUUAGAACUUAUUUUUUAUUUCAAUUAGUUUCCAAAGCAAAAUUUCUAAGUUCUGUUUAAAUGUUUUUAUUUUAUUUUAUUUUGUUACAUGUUAUGUUAUGUUAUGACUGUUUUGUUUUUUGUUUUGUGUUUUGUUUUUUGUUUUGUUUUUUGCUUUGCUUUGCUUUCAAUGUUUUUGGUUUCACUAAAUGUUUUCAUUCAUGAGUAGCUUGUAGUUUGACAAGCUCAAAUUUCAAAGUUUUUUCCCCAAACACUGCAUGAAAGUAACAAGGACUGGAUUGCAGCAACAUGUGGGUGAGUAAAUUACAUAAUAUUCAUUUUUCUUUUAACAUAGUCCCAUUUAUUUGCAUUCAUGCACUGAAAAAGUGAAUAUUACUGCAGAACUGAUUCUCCCAUGCUAUAAUACUUAUCUCUCUGAUGGUCUAUGACAGGUGCCAAACAGGCUUUAUGAAUGUGUAGUGAGGUUAUGAAUGCAGCCUGAAGUCAUGAUGAAGGGAUUUAGAUGGGUUUACAGCUUUAAACUUAAUCCUAAAUUGGAGGGUUUCCUUCCAAACCCCCACAUGGCCCAAAUCUCUCAAUAAAACAUGAGAGAGGCAGCAGAGAAGCCUGAAUACAUAUUUAAACAGGCUAUUGAAUAUAGAGAGAAUGUGUCUUUGUGUUUAAAUUUGUGUUUUAACAACUGCGCGUGCAUGUGUGUGUUCAUUUAGCAGCCUCAUUGAUGAGGCACUUCCUGUGAUUUCUGUUUCCUGUGUUCUUUCCAGGCUUGCUUGAGUUUCAAACGCGGCCUGAUUCAAAUAUUCCCUUUUUCUUCUUCAAAAACCCAUAAAGUGCUGAUAAAUGGUUUGAAGAGAGAGACACUAAAAGCAUGAAACUCCAGAGAAGAGACAGAACGGAGUGAGUGCGGUAUCAGGCGUCGAUGGGGAAUGCAAACAAGUGGCCAUCUCACUCUCCACCAUCUGCGCUCUGAAGACAGCUUUUCAGCGGCCACAAGCAUUCUUCAAACGCUCUUUGGAGACCGGUUUGGAAAGAGAUCUUGGAUAGCGUUCUUCAGGAUGUUCCUCGCUGCCGUUUGUCGGAUAAUAACCUCGGUACGGUGGCCACCAGCAUCCUCCUGCCCUCCGGACCACACAGCCCUCUCUACAGCUGGAGGUGGUACCCGCAAACAUGCCUCUCUCUGACAGGCCUCUCACCAAGAUGAAUUCAUCGCCAGCACGGGUUGAAAUACUCUGGCCAAAACAAGUAAUUUGAUUGCCCCGACCGCAAAUUAAGUUAGUGUGAUUCAAUUUUCGAUUUGGAGCUAUCCAGCAGCCAUACAUCACAGCAGACAUAUUUCAUUACCCAGCUAAAGCAGGUGGGGGGCGGGGCCAGGGGUGCAGGUCUCCACAGGAAGACAUCAUAGCAUUGUUAUGGCACACGUUCAGUCGCUCACACUCCUUUCCUCCCAGCUACAACGUGGCUAUUUAUAACACGCAAACACAUAGGGCUGUCACCGCACGCACUCUCGAGCGCAUCAGAUAUAUCCAGAUAAUUGUGAUUGUCUCUGUCCGUUCGGUGAGAGAUGAUGUAAACAGCAUUAUCGCCACUGUUUCGGAAAGGAAAUGUGUGUGUGUGUGUGUGUGUGUGUAAGAAAAACGGCACUCUGCCAUGGAGUGAUGCAAAACGGCACAUCUCGCAGUUUAUGCCUCUGAGAAUUUUUGUCCGUUUCCCUGGUGACCGGCCAUCACACUGAUUGCGCUGACAUAAAUAAUAUUCCGAGUGCUGUUCGUAGUCUGGUUGAGGGUUCUGUGAAAAAUAAAAUUUUUGUGUGCCUCCAUUUCUGUCCCGGUUGCUUAUUAUUUUAUCAUUAGCUAUGUUAUUUUAAUAUUGUUUAUAUAUGAUUGAAGUAUUUCUUAAUAUUUUGAAUUUGCUUUUAUUUUUUUAAUUUUAGUUGUAGUAAUUUUUGUGUCACUUUUAUCAGUUUUUGUUUUUUAAUAUUUCUAUGUAGUUUAAUUUAUUUGGAUUUCUUUUUAGUUUUAGUAAUUUUAAUACUUAUUAAACCGAUUUAUUUCAGUUGAGGUGCCUCCCAAUGUGCGUAUGCACUAUUUUAUGAUGUUUAUUAGUGCAAGUAGUGUGUUCACACUGAAAAUUUCAAAUAGAAAAAGUGCUCUUUAAAUGAUUUAGUUAAUUAACUGAAAAAAACGAAGUGUGGAAUGUUGGACACUUCAUGCACUCAACUGACGCAGCUUUAAUAGACCCUUUUCACAGACUGUGAUGAUGCAUUUUAACGGUCAACAAUAUCGUAUUAUAUUACCUUUGCAUCAAAUUACAAAAAUCUAGUUAACGCUGCUGUGAGGGUGUUUCUAAUACAGCAGCUGUGGGAGUGACAGUAAAAAUGACAUCUUUCUCUUUUCUGACUGCCAUUAAUCAAUCGCUCUCUAUUUUUUUCUUCUUUUUGAAAGUUGUGAAAACACUAUUGUGGAGUUUUUCUUUUGCUAUUUGAGCAAAUGGAAACACAAAAAAUAUAUUUAAUGUAUUCUCUC